UGAGGAAUAUUGGACAAUGGGUGAGAGCCUGAUCCAGCCAUCCCGCGUGAAGGACGACGGCCCUAUGGGUUGUAAACUUCUUUUGUACAGGGAUAAACCUACUCUCGUGAGGGUAGCUGAAGGUACUGUACGAAUAAGCACCGGCUAACUCCGUGCCAGCAGCCGCGGUAAUACGGAGGGUGCAAGCGUUAUCCGGAUUUAUUGGGUUUAAAGGGUCCGUAGGCGGACUAAUAAGUCAGUGGUGAAAUCUCGUAGCUUAACUAUGGAACUGCCAUUGAUACUGUUAGUCUUGAGUGAAUUUGAGGUAGCUGGAAUAAGUAGUGUAGCGGUGAAAUGCAUAGAUAUUACUUAGAACACCAAUUGCGAAGGCAGGUUACCAAGAUUCAACUGACGCUGAGGGACGAAAGCGUGGGGAGCGAACA
rnacentral:rRNA from 1 species